CAGUUGCGCUCCAUUUGGCUGAUCUGAAACACAAUGAUGCAUCCUGUGUGGACUGAUCCGCUUGCUCUCGGCAAGAAAAUGUGUACAGGUCAAGAGGUGGUGAGGGUGGACAGCCAAACACCUUGACAUGGACACCUCACACCAACAGCUUGAUCAGUUUUCAAGACCUCUCUGGAGUACAUGGCUCGCCUCAAGUUUUUUCUUUCCAGCACUGUCAUAUUAUCAUCUACUGUCUCCUGAAACACAACAUGAUGGAGAAAUGAAUAUGGGUCAUUGACAAAUAAGGUUGUCCGAGAUGAUCAAAAUGAGAAAUAUUGUAAAAAGAACAGCCAAGUUUGUCUAAAUGUACAACGUAGAGGUCAGGGCAGGAAUUCUCUCUCUGAAAUAGUGCACAAUAAAUUUACCAUGGUUUUCAUAUAGAAACCAUAUUUUAACCGUGAUGUAUAUAUAGUAAAACCAUAGUAAUAAUACAGGAAAACCACAUACAUGAAUUCCCUUGAUUCAUCUAGAGUAAAAACAUGGUUACUUACUUUUCAUAGUAACUACAAUAUUACUAUAGUAAAACCAGUUAAGCUAUGAUAUUUGUAUAGUAAAACCAUAAUAA